rnacentral:rRNA from 1 species
UAUAGAUACCCUGGUAGUCCACGCCGUAAACGAUGAGUGCUAAGUGUUAGAGGGUUUCCGCCCUUUAGUGCUGAAGUUAACGCAUUAAGCACUCCGCCUGGGGAGUACGGCCGCAAGGCUGAAACUCAAAGGAAUUGACGGGGGCCCGCACAAGCGGUGGAGCAUGUGGUUUAAUUCGAAGCAACGCGAAGAACCUUACCAGGUCUUGACAUCCUCUGACAACCCUAGAGAUAGGGCUUCCCCUUCGGGGGCAGAGUGACAGGCGGUGCAUGGUUGUCGUCAGCUCGUGUCGUGAGAUGUUGGGUUAAGUCCCGCAACGAGCGCAACCCUUGAUCUUAGUUGCCAUCAUUCAGUUGGGCACUCUAAGGUGACUGCCGGUGACAAACCGGAGGAAGGUGGGGAUGACGUCAAAUCAUCAUGCCCCCUUAUGACCUGGGCUACACACGUGCUACAAUGGACGGUACAAAGAGUCGCGAGACCGCGAGGUGGAGCUAAUCUCAUAAAACCCGUUCUCAGUUCGGAUUGUAGG